CACGGGGGUUGCGAGCGUUGUCCGGAAUUACUAGGCGUAAAGGGCAGGCAGGCGGAUCCAUAAGUUUAUCGUUUAAGGCGUCGGCUUAACCGGCGUAGGGCGGUAGAUACUGUGGAUCUGGAAUGCGGUUGGGGAAGACAGAAUUCCUGGUGUAGCGGUGGAAUGCGCAGAGAUCAGGAGGAAUACCGAAGGCGAAGGCAGUCUUCCAAGCCGUUAUUGACGCUCAACUGCGAAGGUGUGGGUAUCAAACAUGAUUAGAUACCCGUGUAGUCCCU
rnacentral:rRNA from 1 species